UACGUAGGGUGCGAGCGUUGUCCGGAAUUAUUGGGCGUAAAGAGCUCGUAGGCGGUCUGUCGCGUCUGCUGUGAAAACCCGGGGCUCAACUCCGGGCUUGCAGUGGAUACGGGCAGACUAGAGUUCGGUAGGGGAGACUGGAAUUCCUGGUGUAGCGGUGAAAUGCGCAGAUAUCAGGAGGAACACCGGGUGGCGAAGGCGGGUCUCUGGGCCGAUACUGACGCUGAGGAGCGAAAGCGUGGGGAGCGAACAGG
rnacentral:rRNA from 1 species